GUGCUCACUUCGGCAGCACAUAUACUAAAAUCGGAACAAUACAGAGAAGAUUGGCACGGCCCCUGCACAAGGAUGACACGCAAAUUCGUGAAGUGUUCCAUAUU
rnacentral:snRNA from 1 species